CUGUAAAGCCGGUCUCUGGUGAGGG
rnacentral:piRNA from 1 species